UACGUAGGGAGCAAGCGUUGUUCGGAUUUACUGGGCGUAAAGGGCGCGUAGGCGGCAGAUCAAGUCAGUUGUGAAAUCUCUGAGCUUAACUCAGAACUGUCAACUGAUACUGCUCUGCUAGAGUGCGGAAGGGGCAAUCGGAAUUCUUGGUGUAGCGGUGAAAUGCGUAGAUAUCAGGAGGAACACCGAUGGCGAAGGCAGGUCUCUGGGCCACUACUGACGCUGAGAAGCGAAAGCAUGGGGAGCGAACAGG
rnacentral:rRNA from 1 species